UUCAAAAUCAUCUUCACAACACACAACAUCUCUUUCAUUUACACAUAUAUUGUGAGUGCAUUCUUGGUGAGAAUUCUUGUUCCAUUUGAGAGAGUAUUUGUGAGAAAAAUAUUGUCAUUUGUCCUCAUCAUUAUAAGAGGAUUUCUUGUACUCUUCUUUUUUACAUAGUGGAAUUUUGCUCUUGAUCGCCCGUGGUUUUUUUCCUCUCACACUGAGGGGUUUUUCCACGUUAAAUCUUGUGUGUUAUUUUCUUUAUCCUUUACUUGCUUCUCUUUUGUUCUCAAUUGAUUCAAUCCUGUGCUUCCGCAUUGUGCUCUAACCUUAACAAGUGGAAUCAGAGCUCUUACUAAAUUGAGAAUUUCAAAAUGUCUGCAAAAUUUGACAUUGAGAAGUUUGAUGGCAAAAUUAGCUUUUCUAUUUGGCGAGUCCAAAUGAGGGCCGUUCUUAUCCAGAGCGGAUUAAAGAAAGCUUUAGAUGGGAAGUCAAAGAAACCAGUUUCCAUGACCGAUGAUCAAUGGGACGAGUUGGAUGAAAAGGCGCUUUCAACAAUUCAACUUUGUUUGUCGAAGGAGGUUCUUCGUGAGGUUGCCAAUGAAGAAACCGCUGCGGCUUUGUGGCUGAAGUUAGAAACUUUAUACAUGACCAAGAGCCUCGCAAACAAGCUUCGUCUCAAAGAACGGUUAUACACCAUUCGUAUGGUUGAAGGUACUCCUAUUCAAACUCAUCUUGAUGAGUUUAAUUCUAUUAUUAUGGAUAUGCAAAAUAUUGAUAUUAAUAUUGAAGAUGAAGACAAAGCUGUUUUGUUGGUUGUCUCUUUACCUUCUACCUAUAAGCACUUCAAAGAAAUCAUGUUGUAUGGAAAUAAUGAUACCUUAUCCUUUGAAGAUGUUAAAUCUAAUUUAUUGUCCAAAGAAAAAUUUGAUCUUGAAGUUAAUUCUGUGGACAAGGGUGAGGGCUUAAGUGUUCGAGGUAGAACUCAAGAAAAAGGGAGUACCAAUUAUAAAAAGUUCAGAUCCAAAUCCAGAGGUCGCAAAUCCAACAAAACUUGUCGCUAUUGCAAGAAACCGGGGCAUGACAUUCCUGAUUGUUUUAUCUUAAAGAAAAAACAAGAAAAACAAGAUAAGGGAAAAUUUCAACAAUCCUCUGAAGCUGCUAAUAUUGAAGCCAAUUCUGACGGUGAUAUUCUUUUAUCUGUUGUCUCUUAUAAUAAUAGGAGUAAAACAGAAUGGAUUCUUGAUUCUGGAUGUACUUUUCAUAUGUGUCCUUAUAAGGACUUAUUCACCACUUUUGAACAUGUUGACAGUGGUGUUGUUUUGAUGGGCAAUGAUACCCAAUGCAAAGUUGCAGGAAUAGGUACUAUUCAGAUCAAGGCUCAUGACGGUGUUGUCAGAACCUUGGCUAAUGUCCGCUAUAUUCCAGAUUUGAAGCGGAACUUAAUUUCUCUUGGCACCCUAGAGUCUCUCGGGUGUAGGUAUUCAGCUGAAGGUGGAGUUCUAAAGGUAUUGAAAGGUGCUAUGGUAUUAUUGAAAGCUAACCGGAUUGGUAGUUUAUAUGUCUUGCAAGGUUCUGUUGUGACAGGUUCAACAGCUGUAUCUUCUUCAAUGCAUGAUAAUGACAUUACCAAAUUAUGGCACAUGCGCCUGGGCCAUAUGAGUGAAAAAGGUAUGCACCUUCUAAGCAAACAAGGUCAUCUUGGUAAACAUGGCAUUGGUAAAUUGGAUUUUUGUAAACAUUGUGUUUUUGGGAAACAGAAAAAGGUUAGUUUCUCCACUGCAACUCACCGUACCAAAGGUAUUCUUGAUUAUAUUCAUUCUGACCUUUGGGGGCCUUCUAAAUUUCCUUCUCAUGGAGGAUGUCGCUAUAUGAUGACCAUCAUUGAUGAUUUUUCUCGCAAAGUUUGGGUUUAUUUUCUGCAGCAUAAAAAUGAGACUUUCUCCACUUUCAAGAAGUGGAAAACUCUUGUUGAAACCCAGACAGGGAAGAAAGUGAAGAAGCUUAGAACAGACAAUGGAUUAGAGUUCUGCAAUGGUGAUUUUAAUGAGUUCUGCACAAAAAAUGGUAUUGCUAGACACAAAACUAUUCCAAGAAAUCCUCAACAAAAUGGUGUUGCAGAACGGAUGAACAGGACUCUACUUGAGAGAGUUCGUUGUAUGCUCUCAAAUGCUGGGUUAUGGCAUCGGCGUGAAUUUUGGGCUGAAGCAGCAUCUACUGCUUGUUACCUGGUUAAUCGUUCUCCACAUUCAGCACUUGAUUUCAAAAUCCCAGAAGAAAUUUGGUCAGGUAAUCCUGUUGAUUAUUCUAACUUAAGAAUCUUUGGAUGUCCUGCUUAUGCACAUGUUAAUGAUGGUAAAUUAGCUCCAAGAGCUGUUGAGUGCAUAUUUCUUGGUUAUGCAUCUGAGUCUAAAGGAUAUCGCUUAUGGUAUUCUGAUGCAAAGUCACGGAAAUUAAUUCUUAGCAGAGAUGUGACUUUUAAUGAGGAUGCUUUUUUAUCUUUUGGAAAACAAUCUAUUGUGUCUUCUUCUACUAGUACAUGUAAUCUGCAGGGUACUAGCGAGAAGGUGGAGUUGAUAGUGAAACAUACAGUUCCUAAUGUUGAUAAUCCAUCUUCCUCUACAUAUCAAUCUAGCAUUGAUGAUCAUUAUGUUGAUUGUGAUGACAGUACAACUUCUCCUAUUCAUCAGCAAGAAGAUGAUUAUUGUAUUGCUCGAGACAGAACCAGAAGACUAAUUAAAAGGCCAGCUAGAUACACUGAUGGUGAUAAUUUAAUUGCUUAUGCAUUGUCAGUUGCACAAGAGGUAAAUGAUGAUGUUGAACCUGCCAGCUAUACAGAAGCUGUUUCUUGUGUUGAUUCGUCACAGUGGCUAGUGGCUAUGAAUGAAGAGAUUGAAAGUCUUCAUAAGAAUGGUACUUGGGCUUUGACAGAGCUUCCCGAAGGCAAACGACCAUUACGAUGUAAAUGGAUCUAUAAGAAGAAAGACGGUAUUCCCGGGGUUGAAGAUCCAAGAUGCAAAGCACGACUAGUUGUUAAAGGUUUUAAUCAAAAGGAAGGUAUUGACUUUAAUGAGAUAUUCUCACCUGUUGUUCGUCAUACUUCUAUACGUGUUUUGCUUGCUUUUGUUGCUUUAUUUGAUUUGGAGUUGGAGCAACUUGAUGUAAAGACAGCUUUUCUACAUGGAGAGCUGGAAGAAGAAAUUUACAUGGAACAACCUGAAGGAUUUAUUGUUCCUGAUAAGGAGCAUCUUGUCUGUCGAUUGAAGAAAUCAUUAUAUGGCCUUAAGCAAGCUCCCAGACAAUGGUACAUGAGGUUUGAUUCUUUUAUGAUUGGGCAAGGUUAUUGCAGGAGUCAAUUUGAUGACUGUAUUUAUUUCCAGAAAUUUCCAAAUGAAUCAUUCAUAUACUUGUUACUGUAUGUUGAUGAUAUGCUAAUUCCUUCACGUGACAAGUCUUUGAUUCGAAAAUUGAAAAUUCAACUCAAUAAUGAGUUUGAGAUGAAAGAAUUAGGUGCAGCCAAGAAAAUUCUUGGUAUGGAGAUUCACAGGGAUCGUCAAGCUGGUAAAUUGUUUUUAUCCCAAGAGAAAUAUAUUGAAAGAGUGCUUGAAAGGUUUAAUAUGAAUAAUUGUAAACCUGUUUCUACUCCACUUGCUGCACAUUUCAAGUUAUCUUUAGAUCUUUGCCCACAUACAGAGGAAGAGAUGGAGCGUAUGUCACAUAUUCCUUAUGCUAGUGCAGUUGGUAGUCUUAUGUAUGCUAUGGUGUGCACUAGACCUGAUUUAGCAUAUGCUGUUAGCAUGGUAAGUCGAUAUAUGCAUAAUCCUGGAAAGGAUCAUUGGAGUGCUGUAAAAUGGAUUUUUCGGUAUCUAAAAGGUACUUCUGGUAUUGGCUUGGUAUUUGACUGAAACAAGGCUACAACUGAUGACGUCGUAGGUUAUGUUGAUUCGGAUUAUGGUGGCAAAAAAACUAUUAUUCUAUCAUUUAUAUCUAUUAGUUUUAUUUUAGUCAAAGAUUAUUAAUACAAGAAUAAUGAAUAAUGAAUAAUAUAGUAAUAACAUACAAAAUUAUUGGGCAUAAAUAAUUAAAUAGUAAACUUGUUGUUAAAACUGUUUCAUACCGGCCAAUUCAACCGGAAAAUCAAUAAAUUGGUCUCAAUACUGAUAUGGUACAAUAAUUAUACCAGUCAUGUAAUCAUACCGGUCAAAACUGUCUAAAGUCGGUCAAAACUGGUUAUAUCAGUCGGUUUUCAAUAUAACCGUACCGGUCAUACUGACCAGUUUUUAUUUAAAAUUAUUUUUUAAUGAAAUUAAAAAUAUAUAUUAGUUUUUUAUGAUUUUUCAACAUUAAUGUUAAUAUAUUAUGUAUGUAUAUCUAAUUUCGCCUGUAUACGGUUAACGAACCACCGGUUGAACCACUAUACCACUAUACUAAUAUCCUAAAUGAUUUUGUUAGAUGCCUCUCAUUACUAUGCCUUAAAAGAAUUUUAUGACAAUUUUAUGCUCUCUUUAAGGGCAUUUUAUGUCACUUUUAUGGCUUUGUUUCCAAGCAUCCAAUGCUUCAUAUCCAAGAUACCAAGACUUUGCUUGCCUAUAAAAGGACACAUAUAGAGAGCUUCAAAAUCAUCUUCACAACCAACAUCUCUUUCAUUUACACAUAUAUUGUGAGUGCAUUCUUGGUCCAUUUGAGAGAGUAUUUGUGAGAAAAAAUAUUGGUAUUUGUCCUCAUCAUUAUAAGAGGAUUUCUUGUACUAUUCUUUUUUACAUAGUGGAAUUUUGCUCUUGAUCGCCCGUGGUUUUUUUCCUCUCACACUGAGGGGUUUUUCCACGUUAAAUCUUGUGUGUUAUUUUCUUUAUCCUUUACUUGCUUCUCUUUUGUUCUCAAUCGAUUCAAUCCUGUGCUUCCGCAUUGUGCUCUAUCCUUAACAGUGUUAGUGUAAUUUACUCAAAUUUAAAAGAAUGAAAGUGAUUUAAUUAUAAUAGAGGAUGUUCAAAAUUUGAAUUUGUCUUCCUAAUAUACCAUAUUUUGUUUGACUUUUGCCACUAUUUUUGUUUACGAAAUUACAAUUAUCU
rnacentral:lncRNA from 1 species